GACGAACGCUGGCGGCGUGCCUAAUACAUGCAAGUCGAACGCUUCUUUCCUCCCGAGUGCUUGCACUCAAUUGGAAAGAGGGGUGGCGGACGGGUGAGUAACACGUGGGUAACCUACCCAUCAGCGGGGGAUAACACUUGGAAACAGGUGCUAAUACCGCAUACCAGUUUAUGCCGCAUGGCAUAAGAGUGAAAGGCGCUUUCGGGUGUCGCUGAUGGCUGGACCCGCGGUGCAUUAGCUAGUUGGUGAGGUAACGGCUCACCAAGGCAACGAUGCAUAGCCGACCUGAGAGGGUGAUCGGCCACACUGGGACUGAGACACGGCCCAGACUCCUACGGGAGGCAGCAGUAGGGAAUCUUCGGCAAUGGACGAAAGUCUGACCGAGCAACGCCGCGUGAGUGAAGAAGGUUUUCGGAUCGUAAAACUCUGUUGUUAGAGAAGAACAAGGACGUUAGUAACUGAACGUCCCCUGACGGUAUCUAACCAGAAAGCCACGGCUAACUACGUG
rnacentral:rRNA from 1 species